CAGUCGACGGUUGGCAGCAAUGCCAAUAGUGGCGCACGGGUGCGUAACGCGUAACUAACCUACCCGAAUCUGGGGGAUAGCCCGCCGAAAGGCGGAUUAAUACCGCAUAAAACUGCAGCUUGGCAUCAGGUAACAGUUAAAGAUUUAUUGGAUUCGGAUGGGGUUGCGUGCCAUUAGCUAGUUGGCGGGGUAACGGCCCACCAAGGCGACGAUGGCUAGGGGAGCUGAGAGGCUGGUCCCCCACACGGGCACUGAGAUACGGGCCCGACUCCUACGGGAGGCAGCAGUAGGGAAUAUUGGGCAAUGGGCGAGAGCCUGACCCAGCCAUGCCGCGUGCAGGAUGAAGGCUUUCUGAGUCGUAAACUGCUUUUAUCGGGGAAGAAAAAAGGGGAUGCGUCCUCUACUGACGGUACCCGAUGAAUAAGCACCGGCUAACUCCGUGCCAGCAGCCGCGGUAAUACGGAGGGUGCAAGCGUUGUCCGGAUUUAUUGGGUUUAAAGGGUGCGUAGGCGGCUGAUUAAGUCUGGGGUGAAAGCCCGUUGCUCAACAACGGAACUGCCCUGGAAACUGGUUAGCUUGAGUACAGACGAGGGUGGCGGAAUGGAUACUGUAGUGGUGAAAUGCAUAGAUAGUAUCCAGAACCCCGAUUGCGUAGGCAGCUGCCUAGACUGUAACUGACGCUGAGGCACGAAAGCGUGGGGAGCGAACA
rnacentral:rRNA from 1 species